GGCAUGGCUUCUGCUGGGCUUAAGUCCUCGGGGGACACUUUAUUGCCACAGAUGUAGAGAAACUGAGCGUUCUAGCGCAGGCUCAUCCGCCUAGCUCGUCGGCAGCCGAGGCAACCUGCAGCGAGUUCCCACCCUGCUACGUGCAGAGACCCUGUCUCAAGUUUAAAAAGAGCGCGCUGGCGAGAUGACUCAGCGGCUAAAGGCGCUUGCGGCCAACCUGAGCCCGACCCCUGGAGCCCGCAUGGUAUAAGGUGAAUUGACUCCAGCAGGUUGGCCUGAACUUCACACGCGAGCUCCGUGUCACGCUCCCUAGCCCCCAAAAUAAAAUGAAUUUAAAAAAAUUAAGUUUCCAGGGGAAAAGAAAAGAGACCGUAGAGUGCAAAGCUCGCCAUGGGACAGCUAGGUGCUGGAGAAGUGACUACCCACAUGGCAGCUCACAACCAUCUGAAACUCCAGCUCCAGGGGGUCCGAAACCCUCAUACAGACAUGUUUAGAGGCAAAACGCCAAAGUGCAUAAAAUAAUAAAACGAAUGGGCCAGCUAUCAUUGAAUCAGACAUCGUUGCAGAAGAGGGGCAGCGAAAAGAUUUUAAGAUCCGGAGGUUGUGGAGAUCGGCAUGCACAAGGUCAAGUCAGCUGCCAAAAUCCCAGCGCGCCUGAGGGGUGGCUCCUGAAGUUGCUUGUUUUUUAAAGGAAUUCUUCCCGAGAGAGUUAUUUAUUUAUAUUUUGUGGGUGCAUGCAUACAACAUACACGUGGCCAGAGAACUUGGGAGAGUCAGUUUUCUUUUAAAAGUGUGGUUCUCUGGGGAAUCAGACUCAGGUAGUCAGGCUUGGUGAGCCAUCUUGUCAGCCCUAUUGUUUUCCUAACUAUAAGGCGGAUCUUUGGGGUUCUCUCUCUCUCUCUCUCUCCACAUUAUAAUGGCAAUGUAUAUACCACUAUGCUCCUGGCUCCAGCCACCAAGUCUCCUUUCUAUUCCUCAAACUGCCUCAAGUCUUUUUCCAUCUGUUGGCUGCGCUGUUCCUCUACAGGGAACUUCCACUGGGUUUCAGCUUCAGUCACCCUAAAGAGGCUCUCACUACUGAAAUUCUACUACUGAUUUGGUGUGAACUUUAAUGUUGGUUACCUGAACAGCUAGAAACCUUGUCACUUUGUUCUUUUCUGUACAUGUGCCUAGACUAGCACUUUUUUUGUUUGUUGGAGUGUGUGUGUGUGUGUGUGUGUGUGUGUGUGUGUGAGAGAGAGAGAGAGAGAGAGAGAGAGAGUCUCUACAUAACUCUGGCUGCUGGACCAGCCUGGCUUCAGACUCAGAAAUCUGCCUGCCUCUGCCUCAUGUGCUGGGAUUAAAGGCUUGUACCACCACAGAAAUAGCGCCUCAUUAAUAAUAGAUACCCAAUAAACAUUUACUGGAUGAACAA
rnacentral:lncRNA from 1 species